rnacentral:tRNA from 1 species
GGGGAUGUAGCUCAGUGGUAGAGCAUUCGACUGCAGAUCGAGAGGUCCCCGGUUCAAACACAGGCGCCCCCU